GACGAACGCUGGCGGCGUGCUUAACACAUGCAAGUCGAACGGAAAGGCCUGCUUUCCCUUGUGGAUUGCGGGUACUCGAGUGGCGAACGGGUGAGUAACACGUGAGUGAUCUGCCCCCAACUUGGGUAUAAGCCUGGGAAACUGGGUCUAAUUCCCGAUAGGACUGCAGGGUGGUGCCUGUGGUGGAAAACGAUUUUCUAGUGGUUGGGGAUGAGCUCGCGGCCUAUCAGCUUGUUGGUGGGGUAAUGGCCUACCAAGGCGGCGACGGGUAGCCGGCCUGAGAGGGGGGACGGCCACAUUGGGACUGAGAUACGGCCCAGACUCCUACGGGAGGCAGCAGUGGGGAAUAUUGCACAAUGGGCGGAAGCCUGAUGCAGCGACGCCGCGUGGGGGAUGACGGCCUUCGGGUUGUAAACUCCUUUCGACCGCGAGGGAGCCACCUGGUUGGAAGGGUGGUGACGGUAGUGGUAGAAGAAGCACCGGCUAACUACGUG
rnacentral:rRNA from 1 species